ACUUGUUAUUUUUAAAGCUAUCGCAACUAUUUUAUUGUCGGCCGCCUUAGCGAAACCUCAUCAUCUAGUGGAUGUCGAUGGUGCUGCUUUAGAAAAGUGUUCGCGACAAUGCCCUGCAGAGAAAGAUGGUGAACGUUAUUGUGGACAUCAUGGAAGUCCGCACUAUAACUGCGCCGCAGCUUGUUUAGAAGGCAUCACCGAAAAAUGUUAGAAGUAUGAAUCAUCCUAAAUCUGAAAAAUUUGUAUGUCAGGUAUCCAGGAAUAACAAGAAAAUCUAUUUUUAUCCACUUCAAUGCAAUACCUUGUUUGUAUUUACACGAAUUGUAAAUCAUAUGUCACUUAACGACCAUUUUAGACUUCACAACGUUU